rnacentral:rRNA from 1 species
AUGACCACGGCGCCGGGCAAUUACUCCACCAACAAUGACAAGUUACUAUGCUAUACUUAUUUGCAAAUGUCGAGGGAUCCAUCCAUUGGAGGUGAUCAAAGUAGAGACGCGUAUUGGGGGCGAAUGAAAGAACACUUUGAUACUCACAACGUGAGUGGAAUUGACCGCUCCGAGAGAUCACUUCGGUCCCGAUGGUCGACAAUCAACUCGGAUUGUCAAAAGUGGGCGGCUUGUCAAAAGGCGGUUGACAAGAUUAACCCAAGUGGCACAAAUGGGGAUGAUCGAUACAACAUUGCACAAAACUUGUUCAAAGAAGAGACGAGGACAACCAAGAAGGGGAAGAUCAAGAAAGGAAGGGUCUUUACCUUGCCUCAUUGCUAUGAAGUGUUAAAGGAUGAUGAGAAAUGGAAGAAGCGUGAUGGUUUGGAUGAUUUGCAUUUGAGCAACAAACGCAAACGAACAAUUGAGUUGAACGAUGAUGAUGAGGAGGAGGAUGCAUCAAGUGAUGGCGGCAAGAGAAGCCCCACACCCAACUCGGUUUCAUACUCGAAGCCAAAACGCCCGGAUGAGUGCAAGAAAGACAAAACCGAAAAGAAGAAGAGGAAAGGAGAUGAUGAGCUCAAAAAUGCUAUGGAAGCUAUUGUGAAGGCAAGGGUCGAAGACAAUGAGGUGAGGAAAAUGGCAAGGAACCAAGAUGCCGUGGCCGAGGAGAGGAGGUUGGCGGCCGAGGAGAGAAGGGUGGCGGCCGAGGAGAGGAAGGUGGCUUUGGAGGAGAGGAAAGUGAGCAAUGAGGAGCGAGCUAAGUUGUUGGAAUGGGAGAAGCACUUGUUCUUCUUGGACACAUCUAACCUCAAUGCGGCGCAAAAGGAGUAUGUCAAUCUUGCCCAACAAGAAGUCUUGAUCCAAAAAAGAGCCAUGGUUCGUGCAAUGGGUGGCGGUGGCCUCGGCGCAAUGGGUGGCGGUGGCCUCAGCGCCAUGGGUGGCGGUGGCCUCGGCGCCAUGGGAGGCAUGGGUGGCUUCGGAGCCAUGGGAGGCAUGGGUGCACAUCCGGCCGCCAUGGGAGGCAUGGGUGGCUUCGGAGCACCCUUCGACGCUAUGGCCGCCAUGGGAGGCAUGAGUUUUGCUUCUCUCAUGGGAGGCAUGGGUGCACCUCCGGCCGCCAUGGGUGGAAUGUCUUUCGAUGUGCCUUCUCACACACAUUCCCAUGAAGAUGCCGUUGAAGAUCUUGCCAACACCGUCGGAGCUUCACGUGAUGCGGAAGAUCGCCUGAGCGCUCUCCCGGACGAGGCGCUGGAGCAGAUCCUAUCCCACCUCCCGUCCGACGAGGCCACGCGCGCCACCGUGCUGUCCCGCUGGUGGCGCCGCGUCUAUGACAGCGUGCCGGUCGUGGACCUCGUCGACCGCAAGACGGACCGCCGGGGGCGGGGAGUCAACCUCCCCGUGUGCUUCGACAGCAAGCCGCCGGAUGACCUGCUCGACGGCUGGAUCGCCACCGCCGCCUCCUCCGGCGCCGAGGAGAUCGACCUCGAGCUGCAGCUCUGCCCCUUCGGCUGGUUCGGGAAAACCGCCUCGGCCAACUUCGGGGAAGACGUCAGGGGCAGCUACACCAAGACGCCGCGCCAGCUCUUCCGUCUAACAGUCUCGAGCUGCCCGCACCUCGCCGAUCUGAGGCUCGAGGAGUGCCCGACCGCCACCACCAUCACCGUGUCCAGCGAACGCCUCCGGAGCUUCGCCAUGGUCUGCUGCCACAACGCCCGCCGCGUCGUGCUGCGCACCCAGCGCCUGCGAUCCCUACGCUACAAGGGCGGCCUCCCUUCGGACACGUUCCUUGACAUCCCCAACUAUGGCCAAGUGACGGCGCUGACCAUCGAUAUCUGCGAGGACCUCACAAGCAAAGCACCAGUGGAGGUUGCUCCAGUCUUGGAGCUCAUCAGCCGGUGCAAGAAGCUGACGUACCUUCGCCUCGAGCUGCGCCCCUCAAUGGCCUACUACAGCAGCGAGAUCACAGCCAUAGCCCGCGACCACUUACCCCAGCUCCGGCACCUGGUCCUCAAGGGGUUCUUGGCCGCCGAUCACGUCGACGUCCGGUCCGUUGCCGUCCUCGUCGCCAGCACCCUACACCUGGAAGCGCUGUCCUUGUUUCCUCUGGGCUCCGAGACAUUGAACAAGACAUACUACUCUGACGAUGAGUACUCAGAUUCAGACCCUGAGCCGGAGAUCUGUGACAACGAUGACGACAUGUAUGAUGAUGACUGGAUGUUGAGGAGCAUGUGGCGAUGGGGCAUCCCUUGCUCCCGCCAUAGCCUCAAAAGGAUCAACAUCGCCAAGUACACUGGGAAUGGGUUCGACAGGAUACUUGCAAAUUUCCUCUUGUCCAAUGGUGCAGCUCUGGAGGAAUUCUCAGUCACCUUAGCGGCUCCAUUGUCGCCACGCAGGGAGGAGAUUGCAAUGAUGUUCAGAUCCUGGCGACAUAAUCCCAGGACCAUAGUAACUUGUAGCUAG